rnacentral:lncRNA from 10 species
AGACGGAGACGGUACUGGCAAUACGUCGGUUGAAGGGAAGCGGAGCGGAGCACGCGCGGGCUGUGACGAGGGAGCGGAGAAACAGCUGUCCCGUUAGCCUCGUGUUGACGUCCCGGGUUCAGCCCCAGGAGGACGAAAAGACUGUGCCGUGUCCUUCCCGAGGGGAGUGGCGUUCCCAUUGACCUGCAUACCUCACCUCAUACUCGUGCGUGGACGUGUUCCAGCCAAGUCCCGUUCACUCCAGCUCCUCCGUCUCCACCCUAAUCCUAAUUAUUGGUGUUUCGUUUGAAAGGGUUCUGUGAAUUUGUCAAGCAGGAAAAUUUGGGGUCCGACAGAAUUAAGCAAUUCUCUUUAAUUAAAUAGCUUGCGGAGUCUUUAAUUUGUUAAUAUGCAUUUUUCUAAUCGUAACUAACUUUUGCUUUACAUUUACUUUUUUUUUUGAGACGGAGUUUGGCUCUUGGCUCUUGUUGCCCAGCCUGGAGUGCAAUGGCGCGAUC